UCUGGAAACAGCAGAGCUGUAUGGAGACUUGCUGGGCGCAGCAAAGCUGGCUUUAGGCUGGUUUAUCCCAGGUAAGACCCAUGAUGAGCAUCAGAAGACAGCACUGACUGAGCAGCACAAAGGGACUGAUGGGAGUGCUGGAAUUCCACAGGAGGACAGUCAGACAGAAUCACUAAAUCGGGGUGAACAUUCUGAAGAAAGUGGAGUGGAGACUGAGGGGGGGGCAGCCCACAAAACACCUAAUGAGUGUGCUGGAAUUCCACAGGAGAGUCAGAAAAGUAA